rnacentral:rRNA from 1 species
UACGUAGGGGGCAAGCGUUGUCCGGAUUUAUUGGGCGUAAAGAGCGUGUAGGCGGCCGUACAGGUCAGCUGUGAAAACUCGAGGCUCAACCUCGAGACGUCGGUUGAAACCGUACGGCUAGAGUCCGGAAGAGGAGAGUGGAAUUCCCGGUGUAGCGGUGGAAUGCGUAGAGAUCCGGAAGAACACCGGUGGCGAAGGCGGUCUGCUGGGCAGUAGCUGACACUGAGGCGCGACAGCGUGGGGAGCAAACAGG